CUUUUACAAUGAAGAGUUUGAUCCUGGCUCAGGAUGAACGCUAGCUACAGGCUUAACACAUGCAAGUCGAGGGGCAGCAUUUUAGUUUGCUUGCAAACUGAAGAUGGCGACCGGCGCACGGGUGAGUAACACGUAUCCAACCUGCCGAUAACUCCGGAAUAGCCUUUCGAAAGAAAGAUUAAUACCGGAUAGUAUACGAAUAUCGCAUGAUAUUUUUAUUAAAGAAUUUCGGUUAUCGAUGGGGAUGCGUUCCAUUAGUUUGUUGGCGGGGUAACGGCCCACCAAGACUACGAUGGAUAGGGGUUCUGAGAGGAAGGUCCCCCACAUUGGAACUGAGACACGGUCCAAACUCCUACGGGAGGCAGCAGUGAGGAAUAUUGGUCAAUGGGCGCAGGCCUGAACCAGCCAAGUAGCGUGAAGGAUGACUGCCCUAUGGGUUGUAAACUUCUUUUAUAUGGGAAUAAAGUUUUCCACGUGUGGANNNNNNNNNNGUAAACUUCUUUUAUAUGGGAAUAAAGUUUUCCACGUGUGGAAUUUUGUAUGUACCAUAUGAAUAAGGAUCGGCUAACUCCGUGCCAGCAGCCGCGGUAAUACGGAGGAUCCGAGCGUUAUCCGGAUUUAUUGGGUUUAAAGGGAGCGUAGGUGGAUUGUUAAGUCAGUUGUGAAAGUUUGCGGCUCAACCGUAAAAUUGCAGUUGAAACUGGCAGUCUUGAGUACAGUAGAGGUGGGCGGAAUUCGUGGUGUAGCGGUGAAAUGCUUAGAUAUCACGAAGAACUCCGAUUGCGAAGGCAGCUCACUAGACUGUCACUGACACUGAUGCUCGAAAGUGUGGGUAUCAAACAGGAUUAGAUACCCUGGUAGUCCACACAGUAAACGAUGAAUACUCGCUGUUUGCGAUAUACAGUAAGCGGCCAAGCGAAAGCAUUAAGUAUUCCACCUGGGGAGUACGCCGGCAACGGUGAAACUCAAAGGAAUUGACGGGGGCCCGCACAAGCGGAGGAACAUGUGGUUUAAUUCGAUGAUACGCGAGGAACCUUACCCGGGCUUAAAUUGCAACAGAAUAUAUUGGAAACAGUAUAGCCGUAAGGCUGUUGUGAAGGUGCUGCAUGGUUGUCGUCAGCUCGUGCCGUGAGGUGUCGGCUUAAGUGCCAUAACGAGCGCAACCCUUAUCUUUAGUUACUAACAGGUCAUGCUGAGGACUCUAGAGAGACUGCCGUCGUAAGAUGUGAGGAAGGUGGGGAUGACGUCAAAUCAGCACGGCCCUUACGUCCGGGGCUACACACGUGUUACAAUGGGGGGUACAGAAGGCGGCUACCUGGUGACAGGAUGCUAAUCCCAAAAACCUCUCUCAGUUCGGAUCGAAGUCUGCAACCCGACUUCGUGAAGCUGGAUUCGCUAGUAAUCGCGCAUCAGCCAUGGCGCGGUGAAUACGUUCCCGGGCCUUGUACACACCGCCCGUCAAGCCAUGAAAGCCGGGGGUACCUGAAGUACGUAACCGCAAGGAGCGUCCUAGGGUAAAACUGGUAAUUGGGGCUAAGUCGUAACAAGGUAGCCGUACCGGAAGGUGCGGCUGGAACACCUCCUUUCU
rnacentral:rRNA from 1 species